AAAGAUUCGCUAAUACCGCAUACGCCCUACGGGGGAAAGCAGGGGAUCGUAAGACCUUGCGUUAAUGGAGCGGCCGAUAUCUGAUUAGCUUGUUGGUGAGGUAAAGGCUCACCAAGGCGACGAUCAGUAGCUGGUUUGAGAGAACGACCAGCCACACUGGAACUGAGACACGGUCCAGACUCCUACGGGAGGCAGCAGUGGGGAAUUUUGGACAAUGGGGGCAACCCUGAUCCAGCCAUUCCGCGUGAGUGAAGAAGGCCUUCGGGUUGUAAAGCUCUUUCGCAAGGGAAGAAAACUUAUGAUCGAAUAAAUCAUGAGGUUGACGGUACCUUGAUAAGAAGCACCGGCUAACUACGUGCCAACAGCCGCGGUAAUACGUAGGGUGCGAGCGUUAAUCGGAAUUACUGGGCGUAAAGCGUGCGCAGG
rnacentral:rRNA from 1 species